AUUGAACGCUGGCGGCAUGCUUUACACAUGCAAGUCGAACGGCAGCGCGGGCUUCGGCCUGGCGGCGAGUGGCGAACGGGUGAGUAAUACAUCGGAACGUGCCCAGUAGUGGGGGAUAGCUCGGCGAAAGCCGGAUUAAUACCGCAUACGACCUGAGGGUGAAAGCGGGGGAUCUUCGGACCUCGCGCUAUUGGAGCGGCCGAUGGCAGAUUAGCUAGUUGGUGGGGUAAAGGCCUACCAAGGCGACGAUCUGUAGCUGGUCUGAGAGGACGACCAGCCACACUGGGACUGAGACACGGCCCAGACUCCUACGGGAGGCAGCAGUGGGGAAUUUUGGACAAUGGGCGAAAGCCUGAUCCAGCAAUGCCGCGUGUGUGAUGAAGGCCUUCGGGUUGUAAAGCACUUUUGGCGGGAAAGAAAAGGACUGUGCCAAUACCACGGUUCGAUGACGGUACCCGCAGAAUAAGCACCGGCUAACUACGCG
rnacentral:rRNA from 1 species